rnacentral:rRNA from 1 species
AUGUCCGCCGACCCGACAAACCAGCCGGAGCCGGAGCAGAAGGGCGACGGGUACGCGUACCUGUCGGGGCUGGGCAACAGCUUCGCGUCGGAGGCCGUCCCGGGGGCGCUCCCGGCCGACGGCCACAACAGCCCGCUGCUCUGCCCGCUGGGGCUCUACGCCGAGCAGCUCUCCGGCACCCCCUUCACCACCCCGCGCCACCGCAACCUACGAACGUGGAUGUACCGGAUCAAGCCGUCGGUGACCCACGACCCCUUCCACCCGCGGGACCCGCCCAACCCGCGCCUCCUCGCCGACUUCCACGACCCGCGCGCCGCCCUCGCCACCCCCACCCAGCUCCGAUGGCGCCCCGCCGACCUGCCGCCGCCCGAUGGCCCGCCGGAGCUCGACUUCAUCGACGGCCUCUACACCGUCUGCGGCGCCGGCAGCUCCUUCCUCCGCCACGGAUUCGCAGUCCACAUGUAUGCCGCCAACAAGUCCAUGGACGGGUGCGCCUUCUGCAACGCCGACGGCGACUUCCUCAUCGUGCCCCAGCAAGGGAAGUUGUUGAUCACAACCGAGUGCGGAAAGAUGCUGGUGCCGCCCGGCGAGAUCGUCGUCAUUCCCCAGGGCUUCCGCUUCGCCGUCGACUUGCCUGACGGCCCUUCGCGCGGCUACGUUUCCGAGAUCUUCGGCGCCCAUUUCCAGCUCCCUGAUCUUGGCCCAAUUGGUGCUAAUGGCUUGGCUUCGGCAAGGGAUUUCCUCUCCCCCACGGCAUGGUUCGAGCAAGCACACCGCCCUGGGUAUGUCAUAGUGCAGAAGUAUGGUGGCGAGCUUUUCACCGCCACACAGGAUUUCUCGCCGUUUAAUGUGGUCGCCUGGCAUGGAAAUUAUGUCCCUUACAAGUACGAUCUGAGCAAGUUCUGUCCGUUUAACACUGUCCUGUUUGAUCACGCUGAUCCGUCAGUGAACACAGUGCUGACUGCUCCAACUGACAAGCCUGGCGUGGCACUGCUUGAUUUCGUGAUAUUCCCGCCUCGGUGGCUGGUGGCCGAGAACACGUUCCGCCCUCCGUACUACCAUCGCAACUGCAUGAGCGAGUUCAUGGGGCUGAUCUAUGGCGUAUACGAGGCAAAAGCAGACGGCUUCCUGCCGGGAGGCGCGAGCCUGCACAGCUGCAUGACACCCCACGGGCCGGACACCAAGACGUACGAGGCGACCAUCAGCAAGCUCGGCGGGCCGGAAGCCAACACACCGACGAGGCUGAGCGGCACGCUGGCCUUCAUGUUUGAGUCGGCUCUGAUCCCGCGCGUGUGCCGCUGGGCGCUCGAGUCACCCUCCCGGGACCUCGACUACUACCAGUGCUGGAUCGGGCUCAAAUCGCACUUCUCGCAUGGCAAAGAUGGCGGUUAUGAUGGACCGGCGACAACCGGCGGUGACGACAAGGAUGGCGAGAAGUAG